CCCCAAGGUCUGGCCAUCUUCUAAAGAGUUUGAACCUACUGAAGAACUAUCUUGACUGUCUUGAUGAGGGAGCUGAAGAAAUCCUUCACUGGAGUCUGAGCGGGAUUUUGGAAGCAUUGCCUUCUACAGAAUCCACAGUAGUCCGAAGUUCUUCUACGGUUUUUGUCAAACUUUGAUUUUCCAUCUCUAGCUUCAAUAAUCUACUUGAUGUCAACUCAUUCACCUCAUGGCCCAGGGAUUUCUGCGGUGCUAUAAUAUUGAAAAAUACACCAUUGUAUUUACUCUGUACUGUUUUUACUAUGUUUACUCUUUACUAUUUAAAAAGUUGAGUGUAUAUGCAUUGCAUCAUCUGAUCUUUAACUUUAUUAAAAAUUCAAUGGGGUUAUGUAAGAUAAACAAGAUAAGAGAGGUAAAUCUUUUUUUUCCUUUUCUUUUUUUCUUUUUUUAAAGAGACGGGGUGUCUCUCUGUCAUCCAGGUUGGAGUGCAGUGAUGUGUUCCUAGCUCACUGCAGCCUCAAACUCCUGGUCUGAAGGGAUCCUCCCACCUCAGUCUCCCAAGCAGCCGGGACUACAGGUACAGCCAGCUAGUUUUUUUAUUUUUUAGUAAAGACUGGGUCUCUGUUACUUAGGCUGGUCUCGAACUCCUGAGCUCAAGCAAUCCUCCUGCCUUGGCCUCCCAAAGUGCUGGGAUUACCGGCAUGAGCCGCUGCACCCAGCCAAGAGAUACGUUUAACUUUUAAUGCAUCCACAGCAUUCUAGUUAAAAAAAGCAUAAAAUUUAGAUUGAAGAAAUUGGAGUUCAAGCAGACCCAUUAAAUAUUUUGCUGAUACAAGAACAUUAGGAUUUACAAAUGAAAUAUGAGACCUACUAUUUCAAGAAAGGAAAGGUCUGCUUUUGUGUAUGUUUCAAAUUCUUCUUCAUAAAAACCAAAGAAAUACACGCACAUCCAACAUAUCCCCCACCAUGCAAAAAAUCUCUUCAAAAUUAGAUAAGCAAAUAACCUCCAUAUUUAAGUAAAGAAAACCUCAAUUUUUAUUUCCAGCUUUUCUAGUCAUCAUGUUGUUAAUCUUUUACUGAAAGCUGGUAUACUGAAUGGUUACUGACUUUUAAAAUUCCAUUAGUUGCCCAAGUCUUUUUUUUAAUUAAAAGAUUAUUUAAAUUUAACUAUAAACUUACAGGAUACAUUAUUCUAAGUAGCAACUAAUGAAGGAUUAAAUGAAUUUUGAAAAUACAAUACUACUUAUUUUGGCUAAAAGUUCAAAAUGAAUAUUUUGAGCAUGCUGAAAUUAUUUUAAAAUCUUUAAUCCAGUUCCAUUCAUUAUCCCUUUAUAAAUCUAAUUCUGUUGUAUGAUAUCUACUAAAACACAGUAUAGAAACAGUUUAAAUACAUAUUAUUCCUUAAGAGUAGCAUUAUUGUUAAUCUACCUGGAUUAGGUGUUUUUAAAUAGUCACCAUGAUACACAAUAGAUCUCUUGAACUUAUUCUCAUCUAAGUGAAAUUUUAUGUCCUUUGACCAGCAUCUUCCCAAUACCUUCAACCCCUCAGCCUCUGGUAACAACCAUUUUACUCUCUGUUUCUAUGAGUUUGAAUUUUUUUGAUACCACAUAUAAAUGAGAUCAUGCACUAUUAUCUUUCUGUGCCUAGCUUAUUUCACUUAACAUAAUGCCCUUGAAGUUCAUCCAUAUUGUUGCAAAUGACAGAAUUUCUUUUUUUUUUUUUUUUGAGACAGAGUCUUGCUCUGUCACCCAGGCUGGAGUGCAGUGGCAUGAUAGUGGCUCACUGCAACCUCUACCUCUCGGGUUCAAGCGAUUUUCCUGCUUCAGCCUCCCAAGUAGCUGGGACUACAGGCACGUGCCACCACGUUCAGCUAAUUUUUUUUGUAUUUUCAGUAGAGACGGGGUUUCAUCAUGUUGGCCAGGAUGGUCUUGAUCUCUUGACCUCGUGAUCUGCCUGCCUCGGCCUCCCAAAGUGCUGGGAUUACAGGCAUAAGCCACCAUGCCUGGCACCCCCUACCCCCCUUUUUUUUUUUCUGGGACAGAGUUUCACUAUGUCACCUAGGCUGGAGUGCAAUAGGGUGAUCUCAGCUCACUGCAACUUCUGCCUUGCAGGUUCAAGAGGUUCUCCUGCCUCAGCCUCCCAAGUAGCUGGGAUCACAGGUGUGCGCCACCAUGGCUGGCUAAUUAUUGUAUUUUUAGUAGAGAUGGGGUUUCACCAUAUUGGUCAGGCUGGUCUUGAACUCUUGACCUCGUGAUCCACCCACCUCGGCCUCCCAAAGUGCUGGGAUUACAGGUGUGAGCCACUGCACCUGGCCAGAAUUUCAUUCUUUUUAUGACUGACUAAUAUUCCAUUAUGUAUACAAACCACGUUUUCUUUACCAUCAUUUCAUUGACAGACACAGGUUGAUUCCACAUCUUGACAUUUGUUAAUAAUGCUGCAACAAGCAUGGAAAUGCAGAUAUCUCUUUGAUAUACUGAUUUAAUAUCCUUUAGAUAUAUACCCAGGAGCAAAACUGCUGAAUGCUAUGAGAGUUCUAUUUCUAAUUUUUUGAGGAACCUCCACACUGUUUUCCAAAAUGGCUGAACCAGUUUGCAUUCCCACCUAUUCCAUAGAAACUUGAAAGCACAAGUACUGCAAACUUUUAUACUAGAUGAUUAUUAAACACACUGGCAGUUAAAAAACUUCUAAGAUACUUUUAACUUUCCUAAGAUACAUGGGUUAGAAAAUGAGAUAGAAAGGUUCUGAAGCAAAUUUUCUGAAAUGAAAAGUGACUUAAAAAAUUAUUAGUGCCUUUUAUUUCUUCCUUUUUUUCCCAAAUUCUGUAAAUUUUCUGGAAAGUCCCUUGUAUAAUUUAAAAAAUAAAAACUAUACCACAGUAAAGCAAAUAUUCAAUUCUACAACACCAGCUAAGAUCAAUUACAAAACAACAGUGACAUAAUAAUAAUGAUAUUUAAUACUUGAACACUUACUAUUUACCAGGCACUAUUUAAGGGCCUCACAAAUAUCAACAAUUUAAUCCUCAGAAGUCUAGAUGAUACUCACUAUUUUGUCCCCACUUAACAAGUAAGGAAAUUCUUAACUAACACAGUAAUUCUAACUACCUUUAGUAGAAAACAUUUAAGUCUGAAUUGCUUUCUUUGUAACUCAAUUCACAAGGAAUACAAUUUUUAAAGUUUCACAAAUAUUUUAAGUAACACAAGUUCAAUGAUUGAAUAUCAUAACUUACUCUAUAGUCAGUACAUGGGGCCCCAGAAUUUGGAAUUAGCUUUUCAAGUGUAAAACAGGAAGAACCUAAUUGGUAAUCAAUAGGAUGAAUCAUCUAUAGAGGUAAUUAUUCUGUAAGCACUGGAUUAUAAAAUCUCAAGAGUUUAUGUCUACCUCAACAUUAUGUCCUCGGUGUCUGGUAUAGUAUUUUACACGUUAGGUGCUUAGUAAAUAUUUGCUGAAGAAAUGCAAGUAGAACAAUCUAAUACUGGGCAAAACUGAGGAGUUUUGAAACUAGUCUAAUUUGAAUAAGUGUGACCUAACUGGUGAAUUUUUUUGUAAUUUCAAAAAUCCAUAUUAGCAUAUCCAAAGCUAUAAUCCAAACAAUUGUACAUAAUCAUGCCCAGCUUUAAGAAAGAGGACAAGUCAAUGUGAAGCCCAGGAAAAAAGAGCCAAAAGUUAAAAAUUUACCUGGGGGAUCUUACAUUAGGUCCAUAGUAUAACCAGGCUGGGCUGGUUGGCAGGUAUAAUCUUAUAAUGGAGACUAUACAUAUUACAAGUGGUCAUGAAGAUCCUUAAAUUAACUAAUUCUAACUACAUUUUCAUCUGAAAAUUUGCCCAUUAUGCUUUAACUUCCUAUUUGGGUUUACCUAUAGUCAAAGAACAUGCUGACCACUAAUACGACUUUUCUGUUCUAUUUACCAGAUGGCUAUAUUUCUUAAAAUACAUUAAUAAACUGGUAUUGCAGCCUCUUAGGAUAUUAACAUGAAAUAGUGGAUAAGAAACCAAUCAAAUCUGUUAUUGCAUUCAUAAAAUUCAGUUAUAAGACAUGUAAAGCUAGGGACCAGACCCAAGAAAAUGCAAAGAAUAUAUUACUGUGUGAAAUCAUAUCUAUGGACACAGGUAGUCUUCUGAGAUAUCUCCCACUGCGGAAAAUAAAGAACUGCAAGUAAACAUAAAUACAA